UACGUAGGGUGCGAGCGUUGUCCGGAAUUAUUGGGCGUAAAGCGCACGUAGGCGGGUCUUUAAGUCAGGGGUGAAAACCUGGAGCUCAACUCCAGAACUGCCUUUGAUACUGAGGAUCUUGAGUUCGGGAGAGGUGAGUGGAACUGCGAGUGUAGAGGUGAAAUUCGUAGAUAUUCGCAAGAACACCAGUGGCGAAGGCGGCUCACUGGCCCGAUACUGACGCUGAGGCACGAAAGCGUGGGGAGCAAACAGG
rnacentral:rRNA from 1 species